rnacentral:misc_RNA from 1 species
CUGAACGCCUCUAAGUCAGAAUCCGUGCUAGAAACGAUGAUGUUGGUCCCGCACAUGUUAGAUGUGUCAAAAUAGAGCGCAAGCUCGUGAACCAUACCUGACGGUCCUGCCCGUCCUGGCGGAAAUGCCGGGGCGGUCUUCCGUGAAUCGAAAUUUCAAUAUGCGCGGGGGUGAAUCCUUUGCAGACGACUUGAAUGGGAACGGGGUGCUGUAAGCAGUAGAGUAGUCUUGUUACUACGAUCUGCUGAGGCUAAGCCCUUGUUCUAUAGAUUUGUUCAACACUUGUUGGACUUUCUUCUCUCUCUCUUUUCUUCUCUAUUCUUUUUUCUUUCCUUCCUCGCUGCCUUACCCAGGGCCGGACGUUCCGACUUGUGGUGAGGGGUGUGAAGUGGGUGUGUUUGUAUUUGUGGGUGUGAGUGUGUGUGUUUGUAAGUGUGAGUAUGAGUGUAUUUGUGAGUAUGAGUGUCAGUACAUGUGCAAUGCUAGUACGAGUGCAAUGCUAGUACAAAUACAAGUACAAAUACAACUACAAAUACAACUACAAAGCCAGGUCGCACAGAUCUCUGCGAUGUCGCGGCAGAA